CGUGCCAGCAGCCGCGGUAAUACGAAGGGGGCUAGCGUUGCUCGGAAUCACUGGGCGUAAAGGGCGCGUAGGCGGCGUUUUAAGUCGGGGGUGAAAGCCUGUGGCUCAACCACAGAAUGGCCUUCGAUACUGGGACGCUUGAGUAUGGUAGAGGUUGGUGGAACUGCGAGUGUAGAGGUGAAAUUCGUAGAUAUUCGCAAGAACACCGGUGGCGAAGGCGGCCAACUGGACCAUUACUGACGCUGAGGCGCGAAAGCGUGGGGAGCAAACAGGAUUAGAUACCCUGGUAGUCCACGCCGUAAACGAUGA
rnacentral:rRNA from 1 species